rnacentral:rRNA from 1 species
AUUGAACGCUGGCGGCAUGCUUUACACAUGCAAGUCGAACGGUAACAGGUUAAGCUGACGAGUGGCGAACGGGUGAGUAAUGCAUCGGAACGUGCCCGAUCGUGGGGGAUAACGCAGCGAAAGCUGCGCUAAUACCGCAUACGAUCUGAGGAUGAAUGCGGGGGACCGUAAGGCCUCGCGCGAUCGGAGCGGCCGAUGUCAGAUUAGGUAGUUGGUGGGGUAAAGGCUCACCAAGCCAACGAUCUGUAGCUGGUCUGAGAGGACGACCAGCCGCACUGGGGCUGAGACACGGCCCAGACUCCGACGGGAGGCAGCAGUGGGGAAUUUUGGACAAUGGGCGAAAGCCUGAUCCAGCAAUGCCGCGUGCAGGAAGAAGGCCUUCGGGUUGUAAACUGCUUUUGUACGGAGCGAAAAGGCUCUCUCUAAUACAGGGGGCUCAUGGCGGUACCGUAAGAAUAAGCACCGGCUAACUGCGUGCCAGCCGCCGCUGUAAAAC